GGGGAGGACCCUGAGGGAGGGUGGGAGCACGGGAGAAGAGAAGGCAUACCCAACCUGACCUACUUACCUGUCCCCUACCCCACAGAGGGCUUCCCU